rnacentral:rRNA from 1 species
GACGUAGGGUCCAAGCGUUGUCCGGAUUUACUGGGCGUAAAGAGCGCGUAGGCGGCUCGUUAAGUGUGAAGUGAAAUCUCUGGGCUUAACCCAGAGGCUGCUUUCAAAACUGCCGUGCUCGAGUGCGAGAGAGGUCAGUGGAAUUGCAGGUGUAGCGGUGAAAUGCGUAGAUAUCUGCAGGAACACCCGUGGCGAAGGCGGCUGACUGGAUCGCAACUGACACUGAGGAACGAAAGCUAGGGGAGCAAACAGG